rnacentral:rRNA from 1 species
AUUGAACGCUGGCGGCAGGCUUAACACAUGCAAGUCGAGCGAGCGGCGGACGGGUGUGUAUUGUCUGGGAAACUGCCUGAUGGAGGGGGAUAACUACUGGAAACGGUAGCUAAUACCGCAUACCAUCAGAUGUGCCCAGAUGGGAUUAGCUAGUAGGUGGGGUAACGGCUCACCUAGGCGACGAUCCCUAGCUGGUCUGAGAGGAUGACCAGCCACACUGGGACUGAGACACGGUCCAGACUCCUACGGGAGGCAGCAGUGGGGAAUAUUGCACAAUGGGGGCAAGCCUGAUACAGCCAUGCCGCGUGUGUGAAGAAGGCCUUCGGGUUGUAAAGCACUUUCAGCGGGGAGGCGUUACCCGCAGAAGAAGCACCGGCUAACUCCGUGCCAGCAGCCGCGGUAAUAC